AUUAUCGGUUUUGAUUGAUAUUUGUUCUUAAUUAUUAUUAUUAUUAGUUAUUUAACUUUGGGAGAUGAUCAUGGGCUAGUUCCAAUUCUUGGGCUGGAGAAGUGGUGAUCUGUUGCGUUAUCUUUGUGAUGUCGAGUUGAUGAUCUCUCACAAUCAGAUAAAGCUACCGCCUUUCUAGACAGUUACUGGUUUGAAUGGAGUUUGUUCUUCAGUCCUGUUAUUUUCCGAUUCAUGUGAAAACCAAUUCUCAUUCCUUCGGAGGUCAGAGUUAGGUUGAUGUAUGAACUGUCAUGGUUCUUUCUAUGCAUUGUGUAUGCUCACUUUGGAUCAUUGCUGUUGAAAAUCUAACGCCGGUGUCCUUCCUAGAAAUAGUCCCUCCCUUGUGUCCUCAUAUGAAUUUUAGUUUGUUGGAGUAAUGCAAGUAAGAAUUAUUGAAUGAAGUCCGUUUAGUUUUGUUGCCUUCUCUCCCUUUGGGAUUCAGAUUCCAGAUCUAUGUUGAACCAAAAGUUCUAUCGGGAGGCUGCAACUAUAUUUGUGCGAGCUGCAUCACAACUGGUAACCAAUGAUGCAAUUAAACUUUUUUGGUCACUCCUUACUUGAUUUCUUUUUUCUGUUUUGGUAUGAGGACCUUGGUUGCUUUUUUCCCCAUUUUAUUAUUGAGGUGUUGGAUUCGGAUUCCAGAUCCAUGUUGAGCCAAAAGUUCUGUAAGGAGGCUGCAACUGAAAUUGUGCAAACCGAUCAUCACAACUGAGGUCUGGAAAGAGGAUCUUUGUGCUCCAACUAUGGAAGUGGGAAGGAUCUCUUGAUUUUGUUUAACUUUGUGGAGAUUGGAUAUUUUAAAAAUAAAUGAGGAAGCGUUUUUUGUAUAGAUCUAUUUGCUUUUCACCUUUUCUAUAUAAGAGUGUUGUCUGAUUCUACAUUUGUUAGGUGUUGGCUGGAUGAUGUCAUGAUCGUUGGCAAAUGAUGAUAUGUCUCCCAGAUAUUUUAAUAUACAGUUCUAGAUGUAUCUUUUUCUCAUCCGCUCUAUGAGGUUUGUUUGGAGUCAUCUUCCUUGUAAUUGAGAUAUUAAACAGUUGCUUAUGAUCGAUUUCUUUUGCUUUGGUAUUUGCUGUGAAGGCACAAAUAAGCUUUGGUAUUUACAGAAGGUUUAUCAAUCUCAUGAAGGUUUAAGUCUGCCUCUGAUCAUAUCAAUCAGUUUGGUGGCUUCCACGCUGUAUGGAUUUAUUCAGUCUUUUGAGGGGGCUUCCGCGCUGUCAUGUGAGGAUGCUAACGUAUCAGGCUGUUAAAGAAUUCAAGUUCUCGAGCUGGUGAAUGCAGGAGUUUAUCAUCUAACGCUGUCAUGUUGAGGGGAACUACCGAAUAGUUGAAAGGUUCCUAGUUAGCAUAAUAAUUAGUGCUUAUUUUAAUAAAAAGUAUAUCAUGAUAUCAAUAAAUUUAUGUUAUAAUACAAUGAUAAGGAAAGUUAUUACUAAUUAUUUAUUUACAUACUGUGUAAGAAUAUCUAAAGAAGCAACUAAUUUCACAUGAAAAAGUAAUGUCAAUUAGAAAUAUAAUCUAGCAUUAAUUUCCCCAAUAUAAUAAAGUGAGAGAAAUGAGUAUAAAUGUAACAACAUAUCGUAUAUAGUUGACAGAAACAAUAUUUCGGAGGCAUAUCAGUGGUAUUUCGAACUAAAAAAUUCAAAAUAAUAGCCCUUGUCAAAAAGAUGACCGUUACUUCGACCAAAAAAGAACAGAAGGACGACCGUAUCUUUUUCCUAUUACAAUCCAAUCAUCAUCCUUCCCCUGCUCAGUUUCUCUCUCGUUCAUUCUCUCUCGCGUGACGGGCCUUUGCAAAAUCUCUUCGGAGAAAAUCGGUUUCUUCUUUCUUCUCUGUUGCUGAUCGAUUGGUUGAUGUGUCCAAUUGCUUUCUUGGUCUGAUUCGCGAAGCAUCUAGUUGCAGAAACUUAUUUUCUCGUGUGUUGCGGAGACCCAUGAGGGUUUUGCACUUGGCCUCUUUGGGACGUUGCCAAAGGUCAUCGGAUUUGUUUGGUUUAAGCUCGUCCUUUGAUCAUCUAUCAGUUCCUCAACCGGUCAAUCUUUUGGGUUGUUUUCCACGGCUCAUUCUGAAAUUUUCGUUAUUUGGGGGAUUGGCAGUAUCCUUUUUCCUCUUGAUUCAUAUAUGUGUUUGAGGAUGUCCUUAUGGAAUUGUUUGGUUUAGCUCCUCCUUUUGAUUGUGUAUGGAUUUAUCAAACGAUUAAUUGUUAUUUGGUGAAUUCGCAGUGGAUUUUUCCCC